rnacentral:lncRNA from 1 species
CACCCACAAUAUUUUAAAGAUACCAGGAGUAAUACAGUUCACAAACCCAGUUGUUUGUGUAAAUUAUAAUAAUACAAAUCAAAAAAGGAUACAUACUUGCAAUUUCUAGGCACCCUAAAUUAAAUUUACUGAAACACUGGGGGAGAAGGGAGGGCAAGGAGGGGUAGCUCAGGAGGCAAACCAAUAAAGUGGAAGAAAAAAUAUUAACAAAAAGGUAAAAAUUAUACAAAAUAAAAUUAUCAGCAUAAAUUUACUGUACUAAGAAUAUCUACAGUUUAAUACACAUCCUAUUGCCUUGAGACAUUGCAAAAAUCUAUCAUUCAUCCAUCAACCCCAGAUAAACUUCAUUUCAAGUAGCCACAGUUUACAAAGUCAAGACGGAAUAUUCAAGUAUGGUUGUUAAGUUCACCUCCAUUGGAAGCCAAGUAACCAAACAGGAAUUCAAAGGGAUAAGAAAUAAAACACAUCAGAAAGCUACAGGGGUUCUAGAUUAAGUCUAAUGCAUUAAUAUGCCACAAGACAACCAGUCCUUGUUUCUUUAAUUAAAUACAUGGAAAAGAAAUGACAUCACUCCUGUUUUUCUCCCCCUUUUUCCCUUCAAAAAAAAAAUGAAUGAAAAGGUAUUGGAACUAAGAAAAUUUGGAAUGUUGGAUGAGCCAAUUCAUAUUUUAAGUCCCCAUGUGAAGAGUGAUGAGUUCCUCCUGAAUGACAGGUUAGUCAAAACGAGGAGAGCACAAAUAAUACCACUACAAAAAGCAUCCCUGAUAUCAGAAUAGAAGCAAAUGAGGAAGUAGGCCAAAUAGCUUACGGAUUCUUAGGCAAAAAUCAACUUUAGACCUGGCAUUUCUGCACUGAGGUCUCUGCUCAGGGGAGAAGCCUAUUGCUUUGCUCUUGCUGGCAACUCUGUGGUAGGAAGUACUGGGCGUGCCAGGUGGGGCCCGCACUUGUGGAGAAAGCUAUGCAUGUGUGAGUGUGGGACUGUAUAACCUAUGUUGAGCUAUGCACCUCAAAAAUAUUAUUUUGGUCCAGGACUUGUUGAAGUCAGCCACAUACUACAGCAGAUGCAGCUGGCUAAUAAACUAGAUCUUGAGGGAGUCAUUGCAAAUGACAGCAACAAUGACUGAGAAAGCUCAAUGAGAUGGGCAUAAGGGAAUUCACAUUUUAUUCAAAAGCAAAACUUAAAAAGGAAACAGAGUCAACCACAUUCUUUCCUUUAGGCCUUCUGCCAUCAUUUUAACUAAGAAUGAAAAACACCAUGACCCCAGACACUUCAAGGUCAAGUAUGUCAUCAAAUAAAAAACCUGCAGGUAUCAGAGCCUCAUGGAAUCUACUAAGUUGUCACAAUGUCCUGUUUUUGAGGUAUUUAAAAAAAAUUGUGACAGUGGAUGAUGCAAAAAUGGAGCUUCCUGUUGAGUUCUUAAAAACAUUAACUUCUGUGGACACAAGGAGAAAUUUAGCACCAACUAAAAGCAGCCUCAGUGACAUCAAGGGACAAAGAAAGCUCCUGCCAUUAGUCUGAACAUGAGGGGCUACCGAUAAGCACUGGAAGCCACACUGGGGCAAAGGCUGGGAGGAGCAAAGGAACAAACCCCUUGCCCACCAUGGUCCCAACCAGUGCCAGUUAAAACCAGACCACAUAAAUGCUCAGAACAUCUUAUAGCGACUCCGCCAGUGCUUCCAAAAGGUUACAGUAAAUACCCAGCGGAUUGGUCUCAGCUCUUACACAAGGCACCUGGAGGCUCAGGAGCUUGCCGUUAGCACUGUCAAUUGAUUGUUAAACUCAAUUUAUAAAGAACCACAUCUGAAUAAAACUGCUUAAUAAAUAUCUGGUUGGCUGUCACUCACUGUGUAGCCACACCCCGUGCGUCCUGAUGAAGCCCCCACUCAACACACAUGUCUACACGGGUAACUUGGUAUCACUUCUGCUAAUACCACAGGAAAAACAAGCACUCCAAGAAGUCUGACUGGCUGUCGAUGAGUCUUGCUUCCAACUGUCAGCUUGAACCUCUCUCAAUAAUGUCACAAAAAUGAAGCACCACAUUCUCUUUUCAAAGAACUAAACAAAUGCACCAGAAUUUCAGAAUGGGUGUGUUACAGGGGAUGGAAAGGGGAGGAAGAAAAAAAAAUUAUCCAAUGGAGAACUGGCACCAAUGAGGGAGGAAAAUCAUAGCAACCUGUUGAAAACGUUUGACUCUUGCACUUUAAGUGUAGGCCUUGCUCCUGCAGAAAGCAGGAGGAGGUGGGCCGGGGAGGCAUGCACCACUGUCCAAUGUGGAGAUCCAGGAAAGGACAGGUGUGUUAACUGCUGUUACACUGGUUUGCUGAGCUCCCGCAGGACGCAACCUGCCCAAGAGUCAAAGUCCCAGCACAACACUACAGCACCAGGCUCUGCACAACUCCACGCACAGAGCCAGUUUGGCUCUUCACAGCUUGAGUUCAACUUCUUGUGUUAAGAGAUACAGUAGCCCUUUUUCGGUAUUAGCAUAGACUUUGGGGCGAUUUUAAAAAACUGCCACUAAGACAAAUUCCUUCGGCCCAGUAUUCAUUACCUUAUUGACAUGGUGGAGAGGGCUCUAGGAGCCUCUCAACUCCAACUCCAGCUCCAGCGUGAGGUGCUGCUAGCUAGUGAGCCAUGAUAUCCUGUGGACUUGAUAAAUAACGGACAGAGAGAAUUCAGUGUGGAGACUAGCAAGCUUGACGCUGUCUACUUCCAACCUGGUUUCUGGGGAGAUCCAUGCCAGCGUAUCCUGGGCUGGGCCUGGGGUGCCUCCGCCCAACUGCUGACUGGGAAGGGGCCCCAGACAGUUCUCUGCAGCUUCUCCCAUCCUCCCGGACAGGAAGGAAGCUGGCCUGGGGGCUCCUUGCCCACGGGGAGGGAAGGAUAGACUAGGGCUACAUGCUGCACUUGGCUCACCAGGGGCAGUUUGCCGAGAGAAUCUGUCAGCUCCCAAGAGGCCGAGCUUGCCAGUGGGAACAGCACUGCUGGCCUUUCCUGCCCAUCCAUUACCAUUACUAUUGUCGCUUUUAAAAAAUCCAAUAAAUACACAUUUUAAAUGGAAUUUAAAACUACUCCUUUGUGAAAGGACACUAUAAACUUUCUUUCCAUUAUUGUGAUAUACAAGGAUAGAGUUUUAAAAACAAAGAAAAUAAAAGCCCCUCCUACAGGGGAAAAUAAAAC